rnacentral:rRNA from 1 species
GAGUUUGAUCUUGGCUCAGAUUGAACGCUGGCGGCAUGCCUUACACAUGCAAGUCGAACGGCAGCACGGGAGCUUGCUCCUGGUGGCGAGUGGCGAACGGGUGAGUAAUGCAUCGGAACGUAUCCUGGAGUGGGGGAUAACGUAGCGAAAGUUACGCUAAUACCGCAUAUUCUGUGAGCAGGAAAGCGGGGGACCUUCGGGCCUCGCGCCCUUGGAGCGGCCGAUGUCGGAUUAGCUAGUUGGUGAGGUAAAGGCUCACCAAGGCGACGAUCCGUAGCAGGUCUGAGAGGAUGAUCUGCCACACUGGAACUGAGACACGGUCCAGACUCCUACGGGAGGCGGCAGUGGGGAAUUUUGGACAAUGGGGGCAACCCUGAUCCUGCCAUGCCGCGUGAGUGAAGAAGGCCUUCGGUGUAAGCUCUUCGUCGAGGAG